CCUACGGGUGGCAGCAGUGGGGAAUAUUGGACAAUGGGCGCAAGCCUGAUCCAGCCAUGCCGCGUGGAUGAUGAAGGCCCUAGGGUUGUAAAGUCCUUUUAACGGGGAAGAUAAUGACGGUACCCGUAGAAUAAGCCCCGGCUAACUUCGUGCCAGCAGCCGCGGUAAUACGAAGGGGGCUAGCGUUGCUCGGAAUCACUGGGCGUAAAGCGCACGUAGGCGGAUUCUUAAGUCGGUGGUGAAAGCCUGGAGCUCAACUCCAGAACUGCCUUCGAUACUGAGAGUCUUGAGUUCGGGAGAGGUGAGUGGAACUGCGAGUGUAGAGGUGAAAUUCGUAGAUAUUCGCAAGAACACCAGUGGCGAAGGCGGCUCACUGGCCCGAUACUGACGCUGAGGUGCGAAAGCGUGGGGAGCAAACAGGAUUAGAUACCCCUGUAGUC
rnacentral:rRNA from 1 species